rnacentral:sRNA from 1 species
ACCGACUGUGUGGAAGCACCAGGCAUCAGAGAUAGAGUCUUCCCUGGCAUUGCAGGAGAGAAUCUGAAGGGAUGAUGGAUGCAUCAAAAGAGCUGCAAGUUCUCCACGUUGACUUCUUGAAGCAGGACAACGCCGUUUCUCACCACACAUGGGAGUUCCAAACGAGCACUCCUGUGUUCCGGCGAGGACAGGUGUUUCACCUGCGGCUGGUGCUGAACCAGCCCCUACAAUCCUACCACCAACUGAAACUGGAAUUCAGCACAGGGCCGAAUCCUAGCAUCGCCAAACACACCGUGGUGGUGCUCGACCUGAGGACGCCCUCAGACCACUACAACUGGCAGGCAACCCUUCAAAAUGAGUCUGGCAAAGAGGUGAGCACCCACCGGGCUGGCGGGUGGGCUGGCUGGCUUCUGGCGGAAUGCUCCUAAUGUGAGCAACCCCUAUCCCCUUCCUCACCUGUCAGCUGGUAACAUGGUUUAAAGCCAUCCACAGCACAGCAUGAUAGAGGGGCCAUGGCUCCAAAUGUCUGUUUCCCCACUCGGCCUCCUCCAAGCACACAGUAUCGCUGUGGCCAAACCUCCUACAUGUCACCCUUCCCCUUUCCAUUUCAAAGGGAACAAUGUUCACUGGAGGACAUGAGCAGAGAGAAGUACAUAAUAAUAACCCAUGGUUCCACCAACUAAGUUACCCAUCCUUCCUUCCAGGCUUUUUCUGUGUCAUGGUCAAAUACAAAAUGUUUUCCACAGUGGCUUCUGCCCGAGUGUGUGGCUUACGGUGGCUGGUUUUCCACCCUUUUGGGGAGCACUGGGUGUUCACAGUUGUCUCCAAUCUUCCAGUGUUGUAAAGAACCAUGUCUCAGCCAGAUCUUUGGACUGGCUUAUGGAUAUUUCCUUGGGCUAAAUUCCUAGAAGUUUAAUGCUAAGCUAAUGCCAUGAUUUAAAAAUGGCAAUUACAUUGGGUUUUUGUAGAAGCAGAAUCUGCUGGUGGAAAUGAGAUGAAUGGGCCAGCUGCUGCUGGAAUCCUCGCUAGUGCCCCGGCCUCUUCCUUCCUCUCCCUCCCAUCCAGAUCCCAGACUCUCAACCCCAAUUUUGCAUCUGAGUGUUUUUCAGGGUAUCAUGAAAAUCUCUCCCGAGGUGGGCAUGGGUUGUGGGCAGGAGCUGCAUUUCUUUACUCAAAAAGUGUUAUUUUUAAUUUUUUUAAAUUGACAUAUAACACACAUAAAGGACACAAAUCUUAAUGGUUUGCACAAUGAAUUUUUACAUAUGAAUACAGCUGUGGGACCACCAGCCAGAUCAAGGUGGAGGCCAUUUCCUGCACCCUGGAAGGCUGGUUCUCCUGGGCUCCAUUGUAAUGAACAGCGAGGGCACAACCUCCUCCCUCUUGCCACAAGAGGGGUAUGGGGAGUUAGCCUGGUGGAUUCUGGAGUUGUAGCACAGUGAGUUUGAUCCCAGCUCCACCUCUUGGGCUACCUCUGUGAACCUCAGUUUCCCCACCAGCAAAAUAAUGACAAUUAAACAUUUAUAUUUAUUAGCUCAUUUAAUUUUCACAAUGCUCCCACAAAGAAGGGGGCCUGUUAUCAUUCCAAACUUUUAAACAAGAAAACUGAGGCACAGGAGAGGUUAAGUAAUCAGCCAAGGUCAUACAGCCAGUAAGAGGUAGAGCUGGCCAGCCUGGGCAACACAGGGCUACCCCAUCUCUACU